rnacentral:rRNA from 1 species
ACGAACGCUGGCGGCGUGCCUAAUACAUGCAAGUAGAACGCACAGUUUAUACCGUAGCUUGCUACACCAUAGACUGUGAGUUGCGAACGGGUGAGUAACGCGUAGGUAACCUGCCUGGUAGCGGGGGAUAACUAUUGGAAACGAUAGCUAAUACCGCAUAAUAUUAAUUAUUUCAUGAUAAUUAAUUGAAAGGUGCAAUUGCACCACUACCAGAUGGACCUGCGUUGUAUUAGCUAGUAGGUGAGGUAACGGCUCACCUAGGCGACGAUACAUAGCCGACCUGAGAGGGUGAUCGGCCACACUGGGACUGAGACACGGCCCAGACUCCUACGGGAGGCAGCAGUAGGGAAUCUUCGGCAAUGGACGAAAGUCUGACCGAGCAACGCCGCGUGAGUGAAGAAGGUUUUCGGAUCGUAAAGCUCUGUUGUAAGGGAAGAACGGGUGUGAGAGUGGAAAGUUCACACUGUGACGGUAUCUUACCAGAAAGGGACGGCUAACUACGUG